CCUGAACUUGAGUAGGGCCCAAGCAAGCCAGGAAGGAGGAGGCAGCCAGAGUGUUCUCUGCAGCAGAAGACCCCUUGCUGCCCUGCCCAGCCCAGCAUUUGCCAGGUUCACACCUUACUUGUCUUCAUUCACAAAGAUUACUAGAACAUAGAAGCUAUCCAUUCUUAGAAAAUAAUCUGGUUGGACCAAGCACAGGAUUUGAACCAAUGCUUCCCUGAGUUCAGUGGAGCUUGGUAAUGCUCCUAUACUUUGUUCUUGAACAGGUUACCAAGUCAGGUACCUUGGUAGACCAGAUAUGGACAAAAAUGUGUCAUGAACACUCUGCCACCAGCUCUCUAUUACAGAAGGAAUCCUAAGACUGCUAGAGAGAUCACGCUGGUGGACCUAAUAGGAAAAGGCAGUCUCUUGGAUCAUAGCCUGUUCUGAGCUCUGCAUGCAGCAGUGAGCACCUCCCAUCAGAUAUGUACCUCUUUUUCCCAUUUAGUAGCAGCAGAACCCUUGCAGUACAUACUGUACCCUUCCUCACUGAAAUUAUGAAUGCACAGAACAAGCCUUUGAUCAUAAGAAUUUCAUACACCCACCCUGUAAAACUCACUAAUACCAGCAAGCCCACCCUCCUGCAUGUGAAUACCCUUAAUAUCUGAAUAGGGCUUAAAACUAUGCUUAAUAGCAUGGCUCCAGAAAUAAAAUUAAAGUUAAUGCAGAAAAAUGGUGUAGUAUGGCAUAUUGUCACGUUACCGUUCUUUGAAUGCACCCAUACAACACUUGCAGUUAGGUCUGCAUUAUAUCUGUGUAUGGCUGGAGAUCACUCUUUUAAGAAAAGAAAGAAAACUUUUAAGAAAAAAACCUGCCCUUGAACAUCAUGAAUUCCUGAGCUAGAUGUCCAAACUCACAUUUUUAUUACAGAAAUUCAGAUAGCAUACCAAAAUGAUUAUUUUGUAGUCAGAAUCAAUACCUGUGGUGAAAAUAAGCUGUUUGUUAGGAGCUGCCUAUGCAGUCAGUGCAAAAAUUGUAAUUGCCUUGACAGUUUCUGUGUAGUGCUGUAAUAAAUUUGCCCUGAAGUUCUAUCUCAAAAUGGUCUUUUGCAAAAGCUGCCAUCAAAAUACUCACUGAGUAUUUGAAUAUUUGCCAAGCAUUCUAUAUUUAAUUUCACAUUUGACAUAUAAGAUUUGAUUUCAGUAUUUGGCAUGAAUUGACAGCUGGUAUCGAACACUAUAUGUUUGCUGAUGUGGAAAAAAGAUUUAGUAGGUGACAGCAUCUAUGGAGGUGCUCCUUUGAUGAGCUGAUCUCAAAACCUGGAUCACCUCCUCAAAAGAAUCCAAAUUCUAAAUAAUCUUUGGGUUGGAUGAUUAUUAGUGUUUACACAAUCAGAAAGGCACUUCUACUCAUGAAACUGGGGGAAGGAUUUCCACACACACACACACACACACACACACACACACACACACACACACACACUGUCAACCCCACUGUGCCAUACCUCAUGCUAUUGCCCUCAGCUUUUCAGGGGCACUGGGGUCUGCAGUUCAGUGGGGGGGUGGGGGCAGGAAGCCUCAUUCAAGCAAUGUGCUACUUGCAGUUUUCUGGAUCCCAGUCAUUGAGUCCAACAUAGUAGAUGAACUAUAUUGUCCUUGUAUUGUUUUUUAUGAACUGAAAUAAAAACAUUUUGGAAGUACAGACGCACUUAGCAUGAUUGGGCUGAAGUUAAGAACUUAAGUCCCAUUGGUUACUAUGGGAAAGAUGUAUUUAACUUUCUUCUUGCAAUCCACAGGGCUUUAAAAAUACUUAAUUUUGCUGAAUUGUGCCAAAUUUCCCUAGCCUUGCAUCAAAUAAAUGAUGUGGCCACAUGUUUCAUAGUGAUGGCCAGAAAGAUAUGGCAAGAACUUCUCUUUCAGACCAAGGCUCUAGAUAAUACAUUUUCAACCAAUUCAUCAGAGAUCUGUAAACUCCCACUGAUACUUUUGGAGUUCAUACAGUUCUUGAAGUUUUAAAAAUGAAACACCCUGACUUAAUUAUUCCCAUGAUUUCUGACUAAUCUUGUAAAUGAAUCAUAAGAAUCAUCAGGCUGGGAAGAACCUUCAUGGUCUCCAACCCCCUGCACUGAAGCAAGGUCCACCCAGUCUCAACCAUCCUUGACAGUUGUUAAUCCACAUGGAUAUGAUUUGUAGAAUGUUGAGAUGCAAUAGCCAUUAACCCACAGCUAACAGCAUCUUUGGCUCCCUCACAGAAAACUAAAGAAUUGUGUCGAAACCACUUCAACCCAGUGUAGGUACUGCCUCUGGGUACCAGUUGCGGGGGAGUAAUGGCAGGAGAGAGGGCACGCCCUCAUCUCCUCCCUGUGGCUUCCAGCAGCAUCUGGUGGGCCACUGUGCAAAACGGGAUGCUGGACUAGAUGGGCCUUGGGCCUGAUCCAGCAGGGCUGUUCUUAUGUUCUUAUGUUGUUCUUAUGUACUGUUACUCCCCAUUGCCAUUGGCAUAUGGGGUUCUACAAGAAUUCAUCUUGUAGAAUGAAGUAUAAUGAAUGAAGGGAUGAAGUAUAAUCUGUAUACGAAUAACAAUCAACUGUUCCUCUUUUUUCAGCAAUCUAAUCCUAGGAAGGCAGUGGAAGCCCUGAACUAAUGUGUGGAGGCAAUUUAGGUCUAGAUGAGGACAAACGAAUCAGAGGCGCUGAAUCCAGACAAGAUGAAGGAUCUGUGGACAGGAAAUAUCAGUGCUCAGGGUGAAGACAUCUGACAUAUUUUGGCUCCCAGCGUUUCAGACAAGGAUCUUUCCCAGCCCUACCUGGAGUGAGACACUGAGGAUUGAAUCUGAGACCUUCUGCAUGCAAAGUAUUGCUCUACCGCAGAUGUUCUCCUGGGUGGGAAACACUUUGGCCCAUAAAGUUUCCUUUCUCAUGGAAAAGAUAUAGAGUAUCAAGUGUAAAGAGAACACUGGAAACUCUUUGGACUGCGCUGUGAAGAAAGAAAUUGCAUCAAGGGUACUGAAUACCAAACUUGCUGAAAGAUUCAUGAAUGGCCUUGCUGAUUGUAACUGCGGCUCUGAAAGCUAGAUUAGUAGAAUACCAAGCUCCAUGUUAGUUACAUUUCUAUAUUAGAGCCAUGGCAUAGGAAAAGAUGAGGACAAGUCUGUACAGAACUGAACUAAUGAAGAAUCAUUGACAUUGCCCUCUACCCACACAAAAAGGCCACGCACAUGACCAUUGUUGGCAGUCAGGUCUCAGCCCAGCUAAACCUCUUACCUGAUGCAAGAGACUCCAGCACUAGGCUCUGCAAAAUGAAGGAAUGGUCUUGAGAGGUUUCAGAGAGUCUUGUAUUACCUAAGGAAGACCUCAGAGGCACUUUUAGGUAGCAAGGCUCCUCUCUCACACACCUAGGUCAUGUGCUCAGCACCCUCCUCCUCAGUUCUGGAGGCCGCCGCCAUAAGGCUCUGCAGCGGGGAAGGAUGGGCAGAUGUGUGACUGGACAGAUGACCACCAGAAGAACUCCAUUUACAGGUAAGCAACCUGCAGUUCUUCUAAGUGGUCUCUGUCCAUCACACAGAUGGGCGCAUCUCAAGCUCCUGGACGGCAGAGGAGAGAAGCAGAGCCCAGAGACCAGGAAAAACCAACAGACAGUGUGUGACCCACAAAGAAACAAAAGGGGGCUCUCUUCAUUUAACACAAGAAUGCUUUAUUGUUCUUAGACCUUGAUUGUGCUGCCUCCACUACAAUUGAAUUAGGGAUUGGGUGCUUAAGGAGAAACAGGGCAUCCUCCGCCUUGACUCUAUAUAGGUUCUCAACCUUCCUUGAAGUGACCGAAGAUGGCUUGACCCAAAAGUGAUGUCCAGAAGGGCCUGAUUCAUUGGAAGCACUAUGCAUCUCUGUGAAUCCCCAUCUAUAACAUUGAAGAAGUGGUUAGAAGAGGGCUUAGUUUCCUCUUGUAACUGGAUUACCAAAUCCCACUGUCAUCUUAGAUACAUGCAGCAAGAAGGAUCUCAGAUCCUCCGAUGGGGAGAGAGGUAUUGCCUUAUCAUGAAGCCUGGACCCUGCAGCAGCAUCCGAGGAGAAGGAAGUAUCAGGCUCCCCUUUUGAGUCUGAGGCUGAGCCUGAGGACUGAGAAGGAGCAGCAGCUGGCAAAGCAGAACCACUCACUGUUUCAAGAGGAGCAGCUUGAGCCAAGCAGUGGGAUGGUUGAUAUCGUGAGGAGGCAUGCCAUCUGCAUGAUUCAAUGUAUCCAGCACUUUCCUGGGCAUGGUAGCGCUCACUCAUAGGUGGGGGAGAUCCACUUCUUGGGUGGCGUAAAGAACCGGAGUGUGGCUGGCAUGGAGACCGUGAUCGAGACCUGUAUCUCCUAUAGCACACCCAAUGUGCAUCCUCAUAUCUCCUAUUAAGCCUGUCAUAGUCACUUGGGCAGUAACUGUUGGCAUGGUAAUUGCAGGCGCUUGCAUAGCCUCCCUCUUCAAAGUCACCAGGAUCAGAUGAUUCUUCCUCAUAUUCGUCAAAGUUGUGACUAAGGUAACAUUUGAUGGGGAGGUAAUGAGGAGAUUCAUUUCCAAUUUCCACCCUGUGCUCUGGGGAAUAGUCCCCCUCCCUGCGGUCAUCCAACCACCAAGGUUCUUCUUCUGAUUCAUAAUCUAGCCCCAUCCUGUCACAGAAAGCUGACCUGUCACUAAGAGUCCCUCAAUCUCCAAAGGAUGACCUGGCCUUGUUGCUUGCAUCAGCCAGGGAAGGGCUAGUUUGCCCUGCAAAAGAUCAUGGACUUGGGCAUUUCCAGGAGGGCGCACUUGGUCCCGAGGGAUUGCCCGUUGUCAGCUAGGAGCCCUGUUAAAGUGGCACGCAGUGCUUUGUUUUAGCUGCAGCUUUUGUAGAGGUCGUGGGCAGCUGCUGCAGCUUUGGCUCCAAACGCAGCGACUGCGCAUGUGCAGAUAAGGCUGGCUCAGAUGUCUUCGGUGUGGGAGACAUCUUUCUCUUCAACUGCGGAGCCGAAGAUGUAACCUUGAGGCCCUGUUCUUGCGUGCUUGUUUAGAAAAACUUUGGCAAUGCACGCAGGAUGAAGUCAAAUGUGUUUCUCCCAGACAAAUCAGGCAAAGAUUAUGUCCUUCUGUUGCGGGGAUAGAAGACGGGCACUGGGAACAACGUUUAAAAGACACUUUGCUAGCCAUACACUGGUAGAGGGGGAAAAUCCCCUUAGGGAAGGAGACUAAACACGGAGUAAAGAAAAGGUGCACAAUAUGAAAGAGAGAAGUAUAACAGUAAGACAGGAGAGAAUAAAAACACAAUAAACAGAACCUAAAUAUAUAUCUACAGAAAAGCCUGCAAGGAAUUCUGCCAAGAUUAUUAUUCUUUGGAGGAUGAAAAAGAAAUGAGGAGAAGGGUGCUGAGCACGUGACCUAGGUGUGAGUGGGGAGGAGCCUAGCUACCUAUCAAGAGAGCCAGAAAAGAAAAGCUUGCACUGCCCACCCCCAGCAGUGUGCCGAGUGGGGCAUGCCAUUGCUGGGGACAGGAGGGAAGCUGCCACCACCCCGCUGUUGUCACUCCCAGUGGGAUGAAGAGGACUAAGAGAGUGCACUGCUGCUGCAGCCACCAUCACCACAGGAGAGGGGCCACUACGGGAAAUCUUCACUUAACCCCUACAGAAUAAGGAACAACUUGACCUCCUUAAGAAGACCAGCUGGAAUCACUAAGAUUGUUCAGGGCAUCGUGUGUCUUGAAUUAACCAUAUUGCUACUUGCCUUGGGAAAGAAAGAACUCAGGACUAUUUGGUAGAAUCCCACAAGGAGAAACUGGGUAUCCAGUUAGUAUAAUAUUAUUAUUGUCAAUAUAGUGUACAGAAUGCCAUAGCUUUGUAUUAAAUAAUCAGUUAUUCCUUAUUGUUAUACUAGAUGUGUUCUAUGCUAGAUUUUGGAGUACAGCUUUAAGUGUGCUUCAAUGGUUUUUCUCUUGUCAAGGCUCAAGGGAUAGAUUUUGUGUCAUGCUCAGAAUUGACGGCCAUCUCUUCUUCUUUUUUCCUCCACCCCGCCCCCCCCCCCCUUCCCUUCUAGCCGUGGUGCAUUUCUGUUCAUGGCAAAUGAAUUCUCAGCCUUGUUCUCACCCAGCAAAAGCUGUGGCUUGGCUUUGCAUGUUGCUCCCCCACACAGUUCACACUGCAGUGGCAGGCAAGGCUGCUGUGUGCCUCAGCAUGCCAUGUCAGUCUGGAGCUGAAUCUGUGAUCCAAAAAAGCACAGCCAUGUGGAUUGUUUUGUUACUUUUCCAGGUGCUGUCUGUAUUUAUCUCUCAUUACGUCUCUAACAUCUAGCUCUUUUUCUACUGACUGAACACACACACACACACUUAUCUGCGGGGGACGGGGGCGGAUCAGGUAACCCUACAGCUUUCCGUGAGUCUCGCCCAGGAGAUGGGAAGUAUGUGACUCUCUCCUGUUUCUUGGUGGCAGCCUGCUCCAGGAUUGUAUAGAGUGAGUCCUUACCAGAACAUUUUCUUGACUGUGAUUACCCAGCAUAAGAACAGCCAGCCAGCUAAUGGCCCCCAAACUCACAGCAAAGCAAACACUCAUAGAUAAGUCUUUUCCCUAGCUCCUUCUCCCCAACACCUUGAAAUAAAGCUCUCAAGAUUUCUCAUCCACACAUCAUAAUUUGAGAAUAUCUAUUUGAAAAGAAAACAUUUGGAAUUCAGGGUAUAGCAAUAUUGAAAGUGGCCCUGGGGCAUUUUAGGCAGCUCACCACCAUCUGCCUCCACAUCCUGCAUCAGCCACCUGCCCACCCCUGAUGGCCUGCCUCCCUUUGCUGGGACGUGCUGAUGCAGUCUGAUUAUAUCACCAUGCCAGCGUAAGCACACUGCCCCAUGCCAGCAACAGAACAAAGGUUGCCUGUUUUCACUGGGAUGGGCAGCUGUGCGCUCAGCAACACAGACAGCACUGGGCCCGGACAGCACCACCAAUUGCCCAGUGCAGGAGGAGCAGAAAAGUGCAGGAGGAGGCCCCUGGGCACCAGUGGCCCACAUCUUGAGGGAGGCCCACGGGCAGCCACACCACCUGCCCUUUUUUAUAGUGAACAACAACAACUAGCUGGCCCGAGUACAGACCAU